GCCGCCGUAGCUCAACGGUAGAGCGGCUGUCUCGUAAUCAGCAGGCUGCGGGUUCGAAUCCCGCCGGCGGCU
rnacentral:tRNA from 1 species